GGUCGAUUGGUGUAGUUGGUUAUCACGUAUCCUUCACACGGAUAAGGUCAGCGGUUCGAGCCCGCUAUCGAUCA